GCUUUGAUAGCUUAUACUAAAGCAUUGGUCUUGUAAACCAAAGACUGGCGAUUUCUCCUCAAAGCU
rnacentral:tRNA from 1 species